AAAAAUGUGUCUUGGUCUUACUAUUCAUCCAGCAACAGCUGACAAUUUGGCAGCAAUCUGUGUUAUGUUAAGACUUCCUAAUAUCCCUAUUUGUACUGCUACUUGAGGAAUCUUAUGAGAGUAAAAAGCAUGUUUUGCAGAAUACAUUAUUAAAACAAUUAUAGGGUAUACAUCUAUCAUUAAAUAAUUUUUUAUGAUGCCAUGCAUGCAUAUAAGAGGAAUAAGAAGGAGAGAAUCAAUGCCUGGGUGAAAAGUUUUAUACACGGCUGACAUUUUUUUCAUGAGUUUGAAAUACAUGCUUUUUCUCUGUGGCAGUGGUAUCAUACCUUUGCAUUGCUUUUGUACAUUUUUAAAUAACUGACACAAAUUUCAGAGAUGCAUUGUUUGCUGCCUCUCUAAAUAAGAAAAAAAUACUAUGGUAAGUAGUCUAGCAGGCAUAAAGAAUAAAAUAACUGGAUGCCACAUACAGCAAUUUAUAGUUUUAUAGUUUAUCUUUGGAUAGUUUCAGUCUUCUGUAAUUACUGGAUCUGCCUGUGGAAAAGUCUGUUAAUCUGAUGGCCAAUGUGUUUGUUCUGAGUCACUGAUUAAGGAAUACUGAUGUGAGCAUUUUGUUGUGUUUCCCUGCUAACCACAACAGCAUGUCAGAGCUGCAUCUCAGAGCUCCUUUCCUCAUCUUUGGCAUAUAUAAUCUACUUGGAGAUAACUAAAUUUUAACUAUUUUUCCAUUUUGAAAGUAGUGUGUUGGAUAUAAAGUUUAUUAUUUAGUACAGUACAAUUUUGCCUUUGUUUUCUGUCAAGGUAUAGUUUUCCCAAGUAGACAAUCUUCAACAUAAAAUUCUUUCGUUAUUCCCAGUCCAGUUAAAAAAAAACUAAAGAAUAUUCUUAUAAUAAGAAUUAUAAAGAUCUAAAUGAUAAAAAUAUCAUAAUGAUGAGUUUGUGUCGUUUGUAGGGACAUGGAUGAAUCUGGAGAACGUCAUCCUCAGCAAACUGACACAAGAACAGAAAAUGAAACACCGCAUAUUCUCACUCAUAGCUAUCCUGAUGGUCUUUUGGAUGGCACCUAGAAUCAAGAUCUCAAGACUCCACUCUGGUGUGUCUCCUACUUGACCAUUUGCAGGGAAGUUCCAACUUUUCCCCUGAAAUUGUGAUAAGGUGAAUCCAUAGAACAAACUGAUAAUAAACAGAUUAAUAG
rnacentral:lncRNA from 1 species